rnacentral:misc_RNA from 1 species
GCAUGGGCAUUGGAGGUCCAUUCACUUUGGAAGAAUUUAAGUAGGAGAGUGGCUGAUCAUGUAUUGGAAAAACCAGAGUUGUAUACUUUGCUUCCAUUGAAAAAUCCAGUUAUUAUACCGGGAUCGCGUUUUAAGGAGGUUUAUUAUUGGGAUUCUUAUUGGGUAAUAAGGGGUUUGUUAGCCAGCAAAAUGUAUGAAACUGCAAAAGGGAUUGUGACUAAUCUGGUUUCUCUGAUAGAUCAAUUUGGUUAUGUUCUUAACGGUGCAAGAGCAUACUACAGUAACAGAAGUCAGCCUCCUGUCCUGGCCGCGAUGAUUGUCGACAUAUUCAAUCAGACAGGUGAUUUAGAUUUGGUUAGAAGAUCCCUUCCUGCUUUGCUCAAG